AGGCUGCAACUCGCCUACAUGAAGUCGGAAUUGCUAGUAAUCGCGGAUCAGCAUGCCGCGGUGAGUACGUUCCCGGGCCUUGUACACACCGCCCGUCACACCAUGAGAGCCGGUAACACCCGAAGUCAGUAGCCUAACCGCAAGGGGGGCGCUGCCGAAGGUGGGAUUGGUAAUUGGGGUGAAGUCGUAACAAGGUAGC
rnacentral:rRNA from 1 species